rnacentral:rRNA from 1 species
CAAUAGCGUAUAUUAAAGUUGUUGCAGUUAAAAAGCUCGUAGUUGGAUUUGUGGUGUACUUCGGCGGCCCGUCACUAUGUGAUGGAGCUUGCUGAAGUCGCCAUCCUUGGGUGGAUCCUGUGUGGCAUUAAGUUGUCGUGCAGGGGAUGCCCAUCGUUUACUGUGAAAAAAUUAGAGUGUUCAAAGCAGGCUUAUGCCGUUGAAUAUAUUAGCAUGGAAUAAUAAGAUAGGACCUUGGUACUAUUUUGUUGGUUUGCGCACCAAGGUGAUGAUUAAUAGGGACAGUUGGGGGUAUUCGUAUUUCAUUGUCAGAGGUGAAAUUCUUGGAUUUUUGAAAGACGAACUACUGCGAAAGCAUUUACCAAGGAUGUUUUCAUUAA